GGACCCGCACAAGCGGUGGAGCAUGUGGUUUAAUUCGAUGCAACGCGAAAAACCUUACCUACACUUGACAUCCUUCGAACCUCGGGUAAUGCCGAGGGUGCCCUUCGGGAGCGGAGUGACAGGUGCUGCAUGGCUGUCGUCAGCUCGUGUCGUGAGAUGUUCGGUUAAGUCCGGCAACGAGCGCAACCCUUGUCCUUAGUUGCUACCAGUUCGGCUGGGCACUCUAGGGAGACUGCCGAUGCAAGUCGGAGGAAGGUGGGGAUGACGUCAAGUCCUCAUGGCCCUUAUGUGUGGGGCUACACACGUGCUACAAUGGUCAGUACAAAGGGAAGCGAAGCCGCGAGGUG
rnacentral:rRNA from 1 species